GACGAACGCUGGCGGCGUGCUUAACACAUGCAAGUCGAACGCUGAAGCUCAGCUUUUGUUGGGUGGAUGAGUGGCGAACGGGUGAGUAACACGUGAGUAACCUGCCUCCUUCUUUGGGAUAACGCCCGGAAACGGGUGCUAAUACUGGAUAUUCACUGGUCUUCGCAUGGGGGUUGGUGGAAAGGGUUUUUCUGGUGGGGGAUGGGCUCGCGGCCUAUCAGCUUGUUGGUGGGGUGAUGGCCUACCAAGGCUUUGACGGGUAGCCGGCCUGAGAGGGUGACCGGUCACAUUGGGACUGAGAUACGGCCCAGACUCCUACGGGAGGCAGCAGUGGGGAAUAUUGCACAAUGGGCGCAAGCCUGAUGCAGCGACGCCGCGUGAGGGAUGGAGGCCUUCGGGUUGUGAACCUCUCUCGCUCAUGGUCAAGCCGCAACAAUGGUUGUGGUGAGGGUAGUGGGUAAAGAAGCGCCGGCUAACUACGUG
rnacentral:rRNA from 1 species